rnacentral:rRNA from 1 species
AUUUUCUUGAAAUUUAAAGAAUUUGGCGGUAAUUAAUCUUAUCAGAGGAACCUGUUUUGUAGUCGAUAAUCCACGAAAUAUCUUACUUAUUUUAAAAAAGAAGUUUGUAUACCGUCAUUAUUAGAUAAUUUUUAGAGAAUAUUAUUAGAAGGAGGUAAAAAGUUAAGUAAAUUAGAUCAAGGUGCAGCUUAUAAAUAAGGAAAAAUGGGUUACAAUAAUAUUUAUUAAUUAUAACGGAUUUAUUGAUUAAAUUUAAUUAAUAAAGGAGGAUUUGAUUGUAAUAAAAAUUU